AACGCACAUUGCACCUCUCGCAGGGGAGGUAUGCCUGUCUGAGCGUCAUUGAAACCUAUAAACCCUCCUGGGUUUGUGCUGGGCUCCACACGAGGGUGUGUUGCCUCAAAGCCAUGGUCUAACCUGUGGACGAGCUCCUUUCGGACCUGCCAUGGUGAGGCCUCUGUCUCUGAAUUUGACCUCAGAUCAGGUAGGAACACCGCCUGAACUUAA
rnacentral:misc_RNA from 1 species